ACAGGACAGCACCCACACCAAUGAGCGAUCGCGAUGUCUAGGCCAAAAAAGCCGAUCAUUUCUUCAACAUCUCCAUCAAGACGGACAAGGUCCCCAAGGGAAGAAAAAAAAAAAUUACGCGAAGUGGGGAAUCAAGGCCGGCGAAAUACGGGUCCAAAGGUGGAGUUUCGACAGGGUGCAAAAAAAAAAAAAAAAAAAAAGAAAAAGAAAAAAAAAAAGAAAAAAAGAAAAAGAAAGAAAAGAAAAAAUCCAAAAUGGCAAAGCAGAAAGGAAAAGUCAAGACCGAGAAUUGAAUUUUUCUAUACGCCGGGAUGCGCUUGCAUGUCGACGGCAGGUUCGGGCUUGGGGGUGCUAUCUCCACCACCUCGCAUCAAGGGAAGGACAACGACGAGGACAGUCGUGGCGACAAAGAGGAGCCAUUCAAAUGCGCCAAAGACCGUCGCGGCCUGCAGGCCCUUGCAGACGGAGGAAUGCCUGCAAGCCGCGGACGGGGGCAGUAUAGCCGCGACGGCGAUGAAACCGGCAAACCAGAACAGCAGCGUGAUGGCCUCGACGGCGAUGAGGGCGUACUUGUGGGCGAACUGUUGCAGAUAGAGCGGCGAGAGCACGAGGAAGGGGACGGCGACGAGGAACGUCCAAAUGGCGUCGAAGAGGAGGAAGUUGGUCUCGUCGGAGUAGCCCCGGGUGCGGUUGACAGCCCAUCCAGUCAGACCGAGGAUGAUGAUGGCCAGGACGACCUGGACGCCUCGCAGGCCCAUCACGAUAUUCUGCAUGGCGACGUUGAUGACCUCAGGUGUAUUAUUGUGGAUGGGUGAUCGAUUUCGCGAUCGGAUUUUUCCCGAUCGAUCUUGAAUAGUGGCCGAGUGGAGGAUUUGGUGGUGUAAGGCUGAACGACCGACCUACCGACCAAGCGAACGGACAGACGAACGAACGUAUGAACGGAGGAUGGAUGGAUGGAUGGAUGGACGAGAAUAGGUGCAGAUAUGCCAAAAACUCGGAAAUACGAGGCGGACGGGAGGGGUUUUAAAGAAGAACGACGAAACCUGGCUGGGUGGUCGAAGCCUGGUGAUUCACAACUGGACGGACGAUCGUGAUGGGAUGGGUUUGGGCGCCCGUCAGGAAUUAAAGGGAGCAGAAACGGUCAGGAUAAGCUCCAGGGCCAGGAUCCGGCAGGGGAUUAGAGUUGGCUGGUACUUUUACGUUGCGACUAGUUCUGUUGCUAGCAGUGGAUGGCGUUGAGAAGAUGGGGAUAUUUGAAGACUUCGUGGGUACGAGGACAGAGGGACAGAGGGACAGAGGGACAGAGGGCAGAACAGGCUACUCGCUAGCUCGCAGCACGUUGAUAUUCUUGUUCCCGGAGAACAUUUCAUAAUGGUUCAAACCAAAGGCACCAAACCAAGCCCGCAGCGUGCUCGCCGACCCUCGUAUCGCAUCAUCGAGAAGUGCUCGCCAAGUCACUGCCACCACAAUUCCGCAGCAACAAUACCGCCGAAUGACAACGCUGCUGGGUCCCGCCGCAACUAGCCUACUGAUCACAAAAUAAUGUACUCCGUACAGAAUACAGAUGCACAGAUGUACUACGAUAUGGCUUUCCUCCUCGUCCCAGAGCCGCUAAAAUAUGUCGACCCGCCGCACCGUUGCCUCCCAAAACUCCAUACUGAGGCGAGAAUUCGACAUCAAGAAUUGGACGCUUGCAUCUCAUUGGAACCCUCCGCUAGGAAGUGCGCCACCAUGAACCCAUCGACUCUAACGAGAUAAAAACUCAACUAGUCGAACCUAGGCAGGAAAAGUGCUGGUUCGACCAGGGAGGUACCGCCCGAUGUUCUGCUUGGGGUUAGUUUCAGCCAGGAAAAAGAAUCGGCAGGAUAGAGUGCGACAAUCAGGAUCAAGCAUGCCGCCGACAGGCUGCAGCUGACAGCUUGAGGGCAAGUUACACAUCUUAGCGUGCAUGCAUACUCUGCACAUCUCCUGUGCGCUGCGGCGCAAAUUGAAACGCCAUUCCUUGGUCAGUUCAGCCGGCCCGGCAUUCGUUGAUUUUUUGUCACGCUAUCCCAACGCCUCGCAGGCUGCAUGCGGCUCUUUGAGGCCCCGUGGACUGCCCUCGAGAUCGAACCAAGCGAUGGAGGGGGCUGGACUUCCUGGCCUGUUCGGGUCCUUUCGCUGGCGCCAUGAUGGAGCCCCGCUGCCAGUAGGAAUCCGCCCUUCAUCGGGCUUCCGAGUGUGGCUGGAUGAGUGGGCCAGCUCUUGCAUGCGCUGUGUGGUCAAAUAACUGAUGCAAGCACAGCUUAUCAGCCACAAUUUUUGUGAUUACCGAGAGACAUCAUCACCAACAACUUGAUUACGGAGUCCAAGCUUACUAUUUUUACUGGUUUAUGGUUGUGGCUGAGUUGCACACUUAUCUCUAAACGUAUCACGAUAUUGGGGUAGCCAAGUGAGGAACCCGAGAUAAUCGUCAUUCCUAUAUCAAUCACCAUUUGUGACACUGAACACAGAUGUAGAGUGUAGACAACUUUGGGUGCAGGAACAGAUGUAUGUUUUUGAUACCAGUCUCAUUGCUUCCGCUUCAGAGGGCCUUACAGAUCAGUCUUGGAGAUGUAAGAAGGACUCUUUCCAUCUGCUUGGCCAGCACUGUAAUCACUUCAUCGCCAGUGCGGAGUAGGUAGAUCUUCGUGGGCUCGUGGGGGUAUCCAGUGGCAGCGAGAUUUCAAAUAUGUGAAUCAAGCAUAUAACAUUUACAUAUCAUCUUGAGGAAUAGGUGGGUUACCUUGAGGAUUGAUCCUUUAGUGGUAAACCCUCCCACAAGAUUGCAUGUUUUACAAAAUAGCAUUUCAUCUCUCAUCAUGUAACUUUCUCCUUCAUGGAGGGGUUGUCAAAGGGACGGAGUAGAAACAUCGUGGUUUGAUCUUAGCAGACUAGAGAGAGGCACGUGACGGGAAGCCUCCCUGUCUACCGAAUCCAACCACCCAAGUUACGACCUGCAACGCCAAUGGUUUGUGAGGAAUUGUCAUAUCGACUGUAUGCGCGGAGCCCAUCCGGGAUCCAACGGAGCCAGCAUAUUUGCCUUGAUAUUCGGCCGAUUUCGCCUGGAUACAGUACCGGGGGGGGGGGGUUGGGAGGGUUUAGUCGUUGACUUGGUCCAUCCCAAUGAUUCGUGAUGAGACUCGUUACCUUGACUAGGGAGUUGUGUGCCGUCCGUGGAUUGGAUUGGCGUUUAUAGCGGGCAUUAGCAUGUAGGGAAUAGAUCUGGAGCUGCAACUUACAUCGCGGUAUACUAUAGAUAUACUUCGAGAUCAAUGAGGAAUCUCACUCACCCACCAAGAAAAUCUGUCGAUAUUCGGAACGGGCUGUCCAGACAUUCGGUGCUGGAUUCCAUGGGCAGAGUGCGGCUUUGUGGAUUUUAUUUCCUCUUUCUUUCCAAACAUUUGGCUCCGCUGAGGCACCAGAAGUGGAGGCAUGUUCAACAUCAUCAAAAACUUCAGCCCCGUUGUCACCAGCCUUGGUGAGGAAUGAAUACAUGCCUGCGGCCGUUCGCAAACAGGGCACCCGCUUGCCGCUAGCCCUCUGUACUCCCACGCUGGGAAGAGACGGAGUAAAACGCCGUUGGAAGAAAGGAGCCGAAGUCCUGGAGCGCAUGCCGUGGACGUCUUGUCCGGCCUGGCCAACAGCUUGCGCGAACAAUCUCGAAAAUCGUCCGGCACUCAACUCAUCGUAACUCCCUCCCGCUCGAGGACCCUAUCGUUCUGACUUUUAUCCUGAGCACUGUGUGGUUGGCGCAUCUUGUUUUCAUCUAGAAGAACAUGGCAUUGGAUGUCCAUUAUGGUGUAGGAGUGUCAAGCUCUCUCCUGUAUUCUCUGGUGGUGCUCGGCGACAUGAAAUCGCUAUACGUGCUUUUGGCCUUUUGGCCGAGCCAAUGGCCCAGAAAUCGAGAAAGAGAAGAUGCGAAAAGGGGCAACGGGUGAAAGAAGGUAUAAAGUAAAGGAGAAGGAAAAGGGAGCGCAAAAGGUAAAGGAAAGAGGAAAAAGAGAAAGAAGAACUAUUCAUUUCAUUUCAUUUCAUUUCAUUUCAUAUCAUCGUAGGUAGUAGUUGAUUAUUUACUAUCUGCCUAUAGCCUGAAUUGCAGUUUGAAACCUCUCUAAGAAUAUAGACCCGAACGAUAUAUAGAGGCUCCGAAGCCCUGCACCGGAACCCCUUUACCAGUCCAACUUUUUAUCUGUUUUUCAUUCAAAGUGGGAUAACCACAGUCUGCCUGUUAGAUUAGGUACCGGCACUCGCCUGUGGGUACAGUCAGGGCCAGAGCCACUGGCGUAAGUCUAUCAUUUUUCACCGGCCUUGCCGCUCAGCGCGCUGCUGGCUGCAAAUGACUGCUCGAAAUCCGCAAUGAUAUCAUCAAUAUGCUCGGUUCCGACAGAGAAGCGGAUGGCGUCCUCCGUCACGCCGGACGCGAUGCGCUCCUCCUCGCUGAGUUGCUCAUGCGUCGUUGACCAUGGGUGGAUGGCUAGGGAUUUGCAGUCACCGACAUUGGCAAGGUUUGAAAUGAUUUUAAACCCGUCGACGACCUGGCUGCCGGCCUCGGCACCGCCCUUGACACCAAACGACAGCACGCCUCCGAACCCACGCUUCAGGUACUUCUUCGCCGUCUCAUGGCUGGGAUGGCUCUCCAAUCCCGGAUACGACACCCACGAGACAUUCUCAUUCUUCUCCAGCCACCUUGCCAUCGCCAUCGCAUUGCUCGCAUGUCGCUCGCAGCGGAGCGACAAGGUCUCUAGGCCCAGCAGCAACUGCUGCGCGGCAAACGGAUUCAGCGCGCUGCCGAGAUCACGGAGCACGUCGAUGCGCACGCUGGUAGCGAAGGCGGCGGCGCCGAAAGCUUCCCACAGUUUCAGGCCGUGGUAGCCGGGGGAUGGCUCGGUGAACUGCGGGAACCGCUUGGCAUGUUUGCCCCAGUCGAACUUGCCGCUGUCAACGACGACGCCGGCGAUGGUGGUGCCGUGGCCGCCGAUCCAUUUCGUGGCGCUGUGCACGACGAUGUCGGCGCCGUGCUCGAUGGGGCGCGUGAAGAAUCCGCCUGCGCCGAAGGUGUUGUCCAC
rnacentral:sRNA from 1 species